rnacentral:sRNA from 1 species
AUCGCUUCUCGGCCUUUUGGCUAAGAUCAAGUGUAGAAAACCACUGCCCAUACAAGAUUAGAAGAAAAACAUUUACCAAAUUACAUAAGUAAUCUUC